CCCGGUAGCUAAAUGCGGAAGAGAUAAGUGCUGAAAGCAUCUAAGCACGAAACUUGCCCCGAGAUGAGUUCUCCCUGAGACUUAGAGUCUCCUGAAGGAACGUUGAAGACGACGACGUUGAUAGGCCGGGUGUGUAAGCGCAGCGAUGCGUUGAGCUAACCGGUACUAAUGAACCGUGAGGCUUAACCUUAC
rnacentral:rRNA from 1 species